rnacentral:piRNA from 1 species
UGGAAUUAAACUCCAGUCCUCCGGAAGAACA